rnacentral:rRNA from 1 species
UGGGGAAUUUUGGACAAUGGGCGCAAGCCUGAUCCAGCAAUGCCGCGUGCGGGAAGAAGGCCUUCGGGUUGUAAACCGCUUUUGGCAGGAACGAAACGGUGUCCGCUAAUACCGGGCGCUAAUGACGGUACCUGCAGAAUAAGCACCGGCUAACUACGUGCCAGCAGCCGCGGUAAUACGUAGGGUGCGAGCGUUAAUCGGAAUUACUGGGCGUAAAGCGUGCGCAGGCGGUUGUGUAAGACAGGCGUGAAAUCCCCGGGCUCAACUGGGAAUGGCGCUUGUGACUGCACGGCUGGAGUGCGGCAGAGGGGGAUGGAAUUCCGCGUGUAGCAGUGAAAUGCGUAGAUAUGCGGAGGAACACCGAUGGCGAAGGCAAUUCCCUGGGCCUGCACUGACGCUCAUGCACGAAAAGCGUGGGGAGCAAACAGGAUUAGAUACCCUGGUAGUCCACGCCCUAAAACGAUGUCGACUGGUUGUUGGGUCUUAGGUGACUCAGUAACGAAGCUAACGCGUGAAGUCGACCGCCU